rnacentral:lncRNA from 1 species
GAUCAACCAUCAUUCUAAAAAUAGAACAGGGUGCAGAUUAGAACUAGAUUUCUUACCUGCCCCUAAACUACAAAGCAUCUUCAGUUAGAGGGCCUCAGAAGGUCUGACAGUGAGGGAAAAAAAAGAAGAAGAAGAGGCACAGAGAGGAAAUCAACAGAGACAACAUCGCUCCACAGCAACCGGAAGGAAAACACAUGCACACAUUCGCCACUCGCACAGUCUGUUUGUGGUUGCUCGGUAGGGAAAUGCUUACAGCUGCCUUGCGAAGCAAGUCUGGUUGUGGCAGCAGGAGAGACGCGUAAGUGUGCAGCGCGGCUGAGCCGUCACCACCUGCCCAACCGCCCAGAGAGAGGACCAGGGCGCCAUGGAGACGAGCUGGUCCAGGGGCAGGGGUUCAGCGCCCAGGUUCAUUAA